rnacentral:rRNA from 1 species
GACGAACCGUGCAAACGUUAUUCGGAAUCACUGGGCUUAAAGGGCGCGUAGGCGGGCUGCCAAGUCUGGGGUGAAAUCCUCCGGCUCAACCGGAGAACGGCCUCGGAUACUGGCGGUCUCGAGGGAGGUAGGGGCGUGCGGAACUAAGGGUGGAGCGGUGAAAUGCGUUGAUAUCCUUAGGAACUCCGGUGGCGAAGGCGGCACGCUGGACCUCUUCUGACGCUGAGGCGCGAAAGCCAGGGGAGCAAACGGG